rnacentral:lncRNA from 1 species
AAAUCUUUCCCUGUUUUAAUUCCACUAUGCCUCAAGGUUUUCUCUUUUCAACAAUUCGGCUGAACUGCCUUCUUCCCUGUGAAUUCCUUUCGCUUCAAUUGCUUCAGGUGCGUUCUUUCUUCAUCUGCUUCAAUUUUGAUCUAGUUUAAUUGCGUUUAAGUAUUAUUCUUCUUCUCAAUUUAUGGCUCCUACACUGACUUUUGAGAUCAGGGAUUACGUAUUUUUCGUUGCCCCAAUGUUUCAGUUUAAUGGUUUUUUAUUCAAUUAUUUUCAGGCUUGAAGGAUGACAUGGGUUUUUCUGAAGGGAAGUAUCCUUUUGGGAAAAUUAACUUUAGAAUGCCGCUACUCGUAUUAAGGUGGUUUCUUCCUUUUCUCUUAACUCAAUUUGUUUUCUUUAUCUCAAUAGCCAUGGAAUUUGUGAUUUUCAGUUGUAGUUUAGUUAUUGCUUGAACCAGUAAUAAAACCUUUAUGGACAAUCUGCCUUGGAAUAGUCCUUCUUGAAGAAUAUGAUUGAGUAAAUCUUGUUAAAUAUAUAUGCUUCAAAAUAUAUGAAUACUUUAAACAAACGGUACCUCCGCUAUUAGAUUUUUUUACUUUUGGUUACAGAUUACCCAGUGUUUCUGUAAAGAGUUUUUCACUUAACGUAAAGCUUUUUCAAAUUCCAACCAUAAUUUAAUUAUGUUGUGUGAUGCUAAAAUUGCUUGAAGAGACCCAUAUAUUAAUAAUUGUGCGAGAGCACAUCAGGAUUCUUCAGACAGGGUAUUUUUUAAUGUUAUCUCUAACAUCUACAUUGGGAAAUCUCAAGAAACUACAUGGUCUUUAGUAUCUCUUUUAUUUGCUAAGGUCUUACAAUGAACUUUAAUCUUGGAGAUUUUUGGGUAGGUUAAUUAUUAGUAUACCACUGAUGCUUAAUUUAUUUUGAAAAAGACAGUGAAUUAUAAUUUUCUAUAUGGUUACUAGAGAUAGAGAGCGAAGAAUCUGAGCCUUACAUUGAAGCAUCUCAAGCACAAAAGGUGUAUUAUGUAAAUGAUGUGUUGUGCAUCCAUAGCCAAAAGAUUUAAUUUGUAUGAUAUGUGAGAAGAGAUGGAAGAAGAAAUAUACUAGAAUGAGACAUAUCAAGAGCAAGAACUUGAACACUUUUUGGCCAUGUGACGAGUAUAUACAACUAGUUACAUACCAUCUAAUUGAUGAUGUAGUAAAGGGAAAUGUUAUUUCUGACUUUAUUAAAUAUGUGCCCUAUCUGAAGGUAAUAAUAAUUAAGUAGUUCUUAUUUAUUUUUUUUGGUUUAUAGGUAUGCUUAGAAUGGUAUUCAUAUUUGGUUUAAAAGUAUGUUUAGAAAUGGUAUUCAUAUAUGAUUCACCUCUUUUUAAAUUUAUGGUGUCCAUGUGUUUCCUUUAAGAGGAUCUCUUACUAUGAAGUAGUUCAAGAGACAAAAAGAUUUGUUGAAGCUAACUUGAUUGGAUGUUAAAUUUAUGCAGAUUUGGUUUAAAGGAUUGAUGUGCUUGCAUGAUGACACUGAGGGGUAAGUUAUGUUUCUUAACUCAUCUCCUAAAUUUUCAAUUCUUUUACUUCUUUUCCUAGAUUAUAUCAAGUAACCAAAUUUGUAUCAUAUUUGUAGUUGUUAGUUCCUCUAGAAUUGAGAUAUUGAGGUAACCUAGUAGUAUAUAUUUUUAAUUUAUUCCAGAAUUAUUUUGCACUUUUUGUUGCUUUUGUUUGAAGUUAGCUCCAAAAAAUUUUGACUUUGGUGUGGUUUGGUUUAGCUUGAUAAAUUAAUUAUUGAUUUAUUUCACAGUUCCAGCAUAGUGAUAUGCAGAGUGAGUCUGCUUCACUCAUGAGCGGAAGAGUAUCACGAGGUGACAACAAUACAGAUCACCAAACAAAUACAUGUCACUUUUGUAUAUUUAUUUAUUGUUGACCUUCUCUAGAUUGUAAAAUGUUUAAGCUAUCAUAUAUCGUAUGUGUUGUAUAACCUUAGUUUGAUAUGAACUUGAAUUUGUGAUGUUGGUUUGUUUAGAUACUUUUAAUGGAAUUAGAUUUGCGGUG